rnacentral:pre_miRNA from 1 species
CUCGGACGACAUCUUUACCUGACAGUAUUAGAAAUUUAGUUUAAUGAAAUCUAAUGCUGCCCGGUAAGAUGUGAACAGA